rnacentral:rRNA from 1 species
AUGGCGCCCCUCAAAUCAGAAACAAUGGAGAUUCCCGUCGGUUCGGGGCCGACGACCGACUGGUGGUUGUGUAGUUUACCAACACCAAUAUAUGACGUUGAUAAAAUUCACGAUGAGCUGGCGAGGGCGUGUAAGCGGAGUUUUCUCCGCAGAAUUGAAGCAUACAAUCGCAGGAAAGCACGAGUUGUGCAGGAUCAUCUUCUUUCACAAGUUGAAGAGGCUAUUUCGUCGUGGUUGGAAUAUCUGCAGAGGUGGUCUGGUCCAGGAGGAGCAGAAGCACGGGAAAUUCGCCUUGACACUCAAGAACUGCGAUAUGAGAUUGUCGGAUACAGAGGGGAGUUUGGGGGAUUCGGAAGGUGGGACGAGGACGAUUCGGCCCAGGAGUAUCGCAUAUCCAAAAUGCUUAACGCCAUGAUUGACAAAGCAAGCAGGUUCCUGUCUGCUGGAAAAUCCAUCUUACAUGGCCAUGCUCAGGCAACCAAGCGCAAAAACACUCUAGUAGUCAGCCACAAGCCUAAGGACUCUCUGGAUGCUCUUUCUGAUGAGAAGACGGUCCAGUUUUCUGAGAAAACUUCGCCCAAGGGAAGCUGUGAUAUUAUGAUCAGUAUGUUGCGUGCGACAUUCUCUGCUCUUGAAGCAUCAGGUUGUUUUUCUGACAAGCCAAAACCCCAGUCAGCUAAUAUUGUCUCAGCAUGCAAGGACGAUGUGCAUGGUCUAACUGACGCUGAACCAGAAAAUCAUCGCGUGAUUGUCCAUGGUGACAUCAAGCCGGCAAACAUAGUUUUGGACGGUUGCUUCUCAGAAUCAUUGUAUCUCGACGCCUAUUUGAGAGCGAAGAUUCUGCGAUAUGCAACUGGCCCUUUUGUGUAUCCUACAUCGCUCAAAGAUCGGACUUCUUCUGUGGGACGUGAAGCAGACUUAGUCCAAUUUUCCUUGGAAACAUCGCCCAAGGAAGGCAUUGACAUUAAGAUUGGUUCUUGCCACAUACAUGUGCCGAAAUUUGGCAGUGUACACCGCCCACUCGUUCAAAUGGUGCUCUUUGCUCACACACUGUAUGAUGGAACAUUAGCAUGUGUCAAAUCCAUUGUGCCCAAAAGCGUCGUUAAUCUUUAUCAAUCAGGUCGCAUUUUUGAGAAGCCCGAAAUCCGAUCAACUAAUACUGGCUCAGCAAGCAACGAUGUUGGUGAUCCAAAUAAGGCAGAACCGGAAAAUCAUGGAGCUCCUGAUUCCUCCUCCGGCCAUGGCAUCAUUAAGGCAGAGGACAAAACCGGAGCAGCUACCUGGAUAGUCGACACCGGCGCUGUGCACCACGCCACAGGAAAGCUUGCACUCAUUUCUGACGUAACAACCGUAAAUGACGAUGAUCACUUCAUCACGGCGAGGGAUGGAGUUCGCAUGCGGGCCCGCGCCCGUGGCUCUGUGGUGACCGAUACAGUGCUUCUCUCGGAGGUGUGGUACAUCCCAGAACUUGCCAAGAACAUUAUUUCGGCUUCCCAGCUCACUGCUCUCGGCUACAGCAUCGGGUUUACCCGCCGCGCAUGUCUCGUCAGGAGUGCUACUGAUGGCACCCUCGUUGGCAAAGGGCGUGUGUCAGAGGAUGGGUUUUUUGAGAUGGACUUCCUCAGAGUCCCGCCUGUCAGCUACAUCAUUGAGUCCAUAUCGAAUGUCUCUGGUUGA